GAAGCUCUCUAUGAGUCUGAAAGAUGUUCAAGUGGGGGGAGGGGGGUGGAGGGAGGGGAUGGAUUAUUUGUCUUCUGUGGCUUCGCUGAGGGUAGAGGGACUCAACUCCUUAGUCUUGGGACUCAGAAAAGAAAAUGAAGGAACUGGAAGGACAUCAAAGCUGUUUGGUCCUAAGGCAAAUUUAUUUGGGAUAACUUUGGAAUGAUCUGCAAGAGGAUACAGAACAGAAGCAUUUUGUCUGCUCAUCAUUAAUUACUAAUUAGUCUGGGCCUGCCCUGAUAAAGGCUAUAGCUUUGGGUAGCAAAACCUUUCCAGACAAAAGCCCAACAAGUGAUGAAUGCUAUUUUGGUGGAAUGGAAUGGCCAAGUGUUUCAUGGAGGGUGUCAGAGAAAUGUCUGGCUGGGAAAAGAGAGACCAGGAAGCAGAUUCUGUUUUCUCAUGGCUCAGUGUACAGGAGCUGCAUGUGGACUACAUUGUAACCCGUGGUUUUUAUGUUGAACAGAACUGUCUCAGAAAGCAUGGACAUUUCCUGAGAGAGAAGGAAGAAAGAAGGGGGAAAAAGAUUGGUGGAAUGAAGUGUGUGUGUAGGGAACAGCAUGGAAGAUAA
rnacentral:lncRNA from 1 species